ACGUUUCCUUUCAAUUCCUUCACAGGUUGUAAUCAUGUUCAAAGGUUUUGAGAGUACUGGAAGUCUUAUUUCUAGGUAGGGAAUUCUUAUGUAUGAGCUGAUUACUUUUUAAAACUGAUUCAUAUGGUUUGACGCUGAAUAUUCUAAGUGAAAAUGAUCAAACAUCCGCCCUUUUUCAAAGUUACUAAUUCACACACCGACAAACGCAGGAGUAGGUAAUUAAUUACAGAAAAAUAAAAAAGUUUGAAGAAUGAGCAAUUUAUUUCAAUAAAGUGAAAGAACUAAUUUUGCUACAGUGGGAAAAAAAAUGAAUUCAAAAUUUGCUGCACUUAACUGCAUCCCCAUGUAUCUGCGCACGACGGCUUUAUGUCAGUGUCUCAAUUGCCUCUACUUUCUAUUCACGCCAAGGUACUGAAUGAGAAAUAUAUCAAGUUGACUGAUUGCUUGACAUGCCUGACUUGGAGUGGCUUCUUCACCACUCCUCUCUUUCUUUUCACUCCCAGUAAAUACUUCUGACAUUGACAUUUACUAUAUUGGAAACGACAGGUGCCUGAGGGCAUGUACAUCAAAGUAGUUAGGAUCAGAACGUUUGCUAAGGAUUAUUUUUUUAACGGAGCAGAAUGUAGUGCUAUUAAAUCCUUGAAAUGCAAAGCCAAAUGAAUGGCCUUUAUUGUAAAACAAAAUAAUCCAAGAAACUGACAGAGAAGCUCUUAAAUAUUUAGUACAAACAUACUUAUUUUCCAAACCCUGCCAUUAUUGUGAAGUACACUUAUAAUCUAAAUACCCUUCUCCUUUCUUCCCUUUACAACAUACAAUUUCAAUGUGUUUAUAGAGAGAAGGCCUUAAGGGAAAGCCUUAUUCACAUUCCCACAAAAGAAAUAAAUACUCGUUUCUAAGUUCAAUUUAACUGAACUUGACUAACAAACUAAAUUUGAGGCUCCAAUCUUCAUAACCGACACAUAUUAGGAUGAAUGAUCUUUCACUGUCAACAAAUUCUUAUUAAUAUAGCUAAAUAGUUAAUUAAAUUAUUCAAGUGAAUUUAUUGCAUUCUUAUUAUGUGCAGAGUAUUAUUUCAAAGUACACACUUCCACAGAUAUAAAGUGGGCCACUGAAAGAGUAACUUCAGAAGUUUAGGACCUUGACAUACUCAAAAUACCUAAAGGUAGGAAAGGUUGCUGCUGUUGCUGCUUCCAGAAGUGCUCAGUUUAUUUCUAAGGAAUAGCUCAGGCAUUGAAGGAAUAUAAUUCAGACUUAAGCAUUAAUAAAAGAUGGAGUCAGGGAUGGUUGUACCUUUAUGACAUAACACAAACAAGGUAAAGUACAUUCUAGUGGUCUAAAAUGUUAGCAUCUGUGCAAGGCACUUUAAAAAGAAACCAAAACCAAUUUCAAAAUAAACCAGGAUACAGACUAAUUGCAAUUUAUAGGAAAGAUACAAAUGUAGAAACACCAGCUCUUCCCUCCAGUGCUGAAGUUAUACUUCCCCAGACACACUGCCAUCAUUGGGAAGCAUGCGGGUAGACUGGGUAAAUUUAUAGUAUAUUAAAUAAUUCAAUAACAUAGCCAAGUUUUUGUGCAUGGUCCCAAAGACUUCUCAACUUAUUUUUCAACAUUACAGUUGUAGGGAUGGAAAUUGAAAAAAUAAGUGUUUUCUUUACAUGGCAGACAGGUUUCUUACAGACCCCCAAAUGAAAAUGUGACACAUCACCACCAUAACACAAGCUGUUUUGUCUGUCAUUAUGACAUAACUUCAUAGGGCAUCAGUCUUCCAAGGUCUAAGUGCUUCCUUCACAUGCCUCUACUUUAUUUUUCUUGAACUAACUAGGUUCUCUUUCCAGGUCAAGUGUUAUCUUCUGGCAAAGUACCUUCAGGAUAAAUAUGCUUCAUCGUUUACAUAUCCCACAAUUCAAGCCUCCAUUUACAAGCUUAAACUCAGUGCCUGGUCUCUAUAUUCAGAAUUCCCCACACUUACUUAAAAAGAUCAUUUAAAAACACUAGAUUUUUAAAAAUUCCCUCUGAAGGAGAGAGAAUUAUUCAAGAA